rnacentral:lncRNA from 1 species
GGGCAAGGCCAGCCUGGGCUACAUAAUGAGAUCCUGUCUCAAAACAUGUACAUAUGUGCACAUGCGCGCACACAGUCUAAAUCCUGCUAAAGUGAGAUUCCUAAACUUCAGAAAGAGAAUGGAAAAGAAAAGGAAUGUUUUAUUUCUUAGACUCAAUAUUAGAAACUUCCAAGUCAAAUAACUUUUCUGAGUACAUUUUUUUUUCCAGCUGUGUGACACAUUUAACACCUGGUAUUGCAAAAAAAAAAAAAAAACUUUUAGAAUUUCUUGUAGACAUUUUAGCUCUCUUACAGUUUUAAAUCUAGUUUGUUUCUCAUUCUGUUUUCCCUUUUUUAAAAAACAGUGUCUUCUUUCUGAAAUGUCUAACAGACAUGGGGUCAUGAAGUGAUAUUGGUGAUGUCUUGUGAGAGAGGGAGGUACUUAGGGGAGUCUAACACCUGGAGAAUUCUGCAAACACUAGCAUUGUAGAAGCCCACAGCUAGCCCUGCCCACGAGCUGUACCCUGGUCAUUACACAGUGCUUAGGGUUGAGUGAAUGACUAAGAAUGGCCUCCUCCUUGUGGCCGCUGAGGCUGUAGCACAUCUGUGACCCUUGUUUCCCCUGUGUUUUCCUCUAACUGCUAACCCAGAAGUGCACUCCCUCCUCGGUUAGCCUAGUGCAUAGCCAACUGCGUUGCAUUUGUGAUUCCAGGCACAGAAGGAGCUGAAGAAGGAUCGUCCCCUCGUGCGCCGCAAGUCCGAGCUGCCUCAGGACCCCCACACCGAGAAAGCCUUGGAAGCUCACUGCAGAGCCAGUGAGCUGCUCUCCCAGGACGGGCGCUAGCGUCUGGAGCAGCACGCCGAGCUGGGCCUGUCGGUUCUCUUCUGGAUGCUGUAGAAAAGACAUACUGUGUGUGCCAUACCAGUCAGUUACACUCAAUGUCAAAGCUUCCUCUGACCCCGUUCUGUAGGCAAUAAUGCACGUCCGCCUCAGCUCGAGAUUAGGAGUUCAAACAAUGGUGGCUUCUCUGGCCCUGCUGGCCAAGCAGGGGGCUGGGGGAGUCGGUGACAGUGUCAUCACCAUGUUGUCACCACCCCAGCACAGCCCUGAGUGAGAUCCAAAGUCAGAGCUGUAGGAAAGCACCCUGACUGUCACCUUCUCGUACCCAGUAGACCCUGUGGUCCUCUGAAAUAGGGAUUCUGUGGUAGGUAACACCGAUGCUGUGGCAAAUCAAACGCACAUGGUAAAAGGUGUCUCCUCCCUUUACAACCCUGACGCUGUCCCCACGCUUGCUGUGCCAGCCGCCCGUGGUGGUUGGUUAGGUCUCUCAGAGAUGGCUCCUCGCUUUCCCGUUCUAGCUGCCUGCCGGGAAAGAGGCCAACUUUUGCGCUGGGGCCGUCCACAGUGUUUCUUUCCUUUGGUUAAUGGCACGGUCACCAUGUCCUGCUUACCUUAAUGUCUACCGAAAGCCAUAUUUCAUAGUCUGUGGUAGAGGCCAGGGUUCCACCUCAGCGCAAGGGAGGGUUCUGAGAAGUGCUUCCUCAGCCCACCUUGAGGAGAACCGCCACGUUGGAAUGACGUGUUCAUGUUAGUUGCAGAAUCAGUUUUUCACCUACUUACACAUGAUCCUUCAACAAGGCUCUCGAGUGGAUAAAGAUCACAGGAUCUAAGAAUUCCACAUUGGUAGAAAGUGACAGUAAACUCAGCCCCUUGGCCUAGUGCAGCCUGCAGCUGCCUGUGGCCUGACUGCGGGCCGCACUGUGUGGGCGCCCUCAGUGAGCCUUUCUUUCUGUUGGAAAAAGCACAUGUCACCAAGCUCGCGAGGAAAGGCGCGGUGCCCGCGUUCGCACCAGUCUCCACAUGCUGCUCCGGCCUUCACAGAAUUCUUGCAUGGAUUAAGCUUCUGUUUUAGAUGGGAUAGCACGAGGAGAUACAUCCUUAAACUUAGUGCUUUGUCUUCUUGUCCUCUCAGGGUGGCCAGUAUUUUGACUUAUUUAUCCUGCUCAAAAGCUGCUUGAAAUGUGUGCUGCUCUCUGAACAGUGGCGAGUCUUCUCUUGUCUCCAGCAUAUAUAUAACUCAGUGUUACAUGUCUUGAUGCAUAAGAUAGGUUAAAAAAAAAGAAGAAGAAGAAAAAUGGGGCUUCUUUUAAAACCUGAUUUUAAUCGUGGUCUCAGGGAUCCGUGAAAAAGUUGUGAAAUCAGACAUUGCUCUCUCGCGGCCUUGGAGGCGGGUCCCACGGGGAAGAAGGGCAUGUGCAGGGAGGGAGAGCCAGCACGGCUAGUCAAAAAGGCGGCCCCAGCUGAGGGUGAACAGGUUGGCCACUUGGGUGAGAACACUUCCUGAGAAACUUGACAAGUACCUAUCCACUUUACCAUUAUGAAAUCUAUAAUUAAAAAAAAAAAGUUGAGAUGCCUUCUCCUUUUGAGGGAAAAAGGGUGCUUUUAUUGUAUAAAGCAGUGUCUCUGUGUUUUGAUAGCCCACUGUUUGAACUCUCGUCUUUAGCUGGUAGAGUCUCAGAUAUCCCUGACGUGUGGGGCAUUCCGAGUGUGGUGAGAGGUCCCAAGAGGCUCCUUUGCCCUGCGUGAAGAGCAUGCUAUCAGUGUACGGGUGAUUGUGCAAAGCUCAGCGCGGGGGAGCAUCUUCUGCUCUAGGUUUUAUUUCUGCUCUUUAUUGAAGACAAACAUUCGCCAAUAAAGAAAAGGGAAAAAAAUGUUUUGAGAGAAACUAAUUUUCUUUGGCAAAAGUAUUACUUAAAUUUUUGGCCUAUUAAGGUUCCCCUAGUUAGUACUCGGAUUCCCCAUGCUAAUUGUUCAGCUUGUAUGUUGUUAAGACACUGUUGAUUCUGUACCAGACUGGUUUCAAAACAAAAAAAGUACCACGUUGAAAAUAAACUGGUGACUGUUUUUCUUCAUAUGGCUCUAGUUUGGCACCUUCACUCUUUCCAAAACGUGUCUGUGCGCCAGAGAUGUCACAGUUCAAGUGUCUUUCUAGUGUGGCUUUGUAUGGCUUCCUUUGAACAUUGUACAUACAUUGUAUCUUUGUUUUAUGGUAAUAAGUAAUAAAAAAUGUAGACUUCGUAUUUUGUACAAAAUGUCCUAUGUACAGAAUAAAAAAAAGUUCAUAGAAACAG